GGACUGGACGUGGGCUGGGUCUGGAGGUAGGGUGGAUGGUGGGGCAAGGAGAGGACUGGACGUGGGCUGGGUCUGGAGGUAGGGUGGAUGGUGGAUGGUAUGAUGGAUGAAAAGUAAUGCCUUGGAUCUCCAGCAACACAACGCUGUCUGUCCUAAGGGCUUGUGAAGCUUUCAAACCUAUGAUCUAUUAGUAACAUAAAGCCUUUUAUAAUCAUGAUGUUGACAGCGUUUAGGGGCCUCGAUCUCUCUACUUCUGAGUCUUUUCAAUAGUGUGAUUGAAAACAAAAAUGUACAUUAUUAUUCUAUUUAAAAAAAAAAAAAAGAAAAGAAAAAAGACAAGUGUUCUGUAUGGACCUGUAUUUACCCAUCAGUUUCUGAUGUUCAAACACUGUGAUUAUUAUAAAUGUUGUUGGACAACAUGAGUUUAAGAAGAAAAAAGCUAGAAAAAUACAAAGUAAAAGACAGUUGGAGGAAACAUUAUGGUGGAUUGGUAAUACUUAGGCUGAACAAAAAUACAAAGUAAAAGACAGUUGGAGGAAACAUUAUGGUGGAUUGGUAAUACUUAGGCUGAA